rnacentral:rRNA from 1 species
UACGAAGGGGGCUAGCGUUGCCCGGAAUCACUGGGCGUAAAGGGUGCGUAGGCGGGUCUUUAAGUCAGGGGUGAAAUCCUGGAGCUCAACUCCAGAACUGCCUUUGAUACUGAAGAUCUUGGGUUCGGGAGAGGGGAGUGGAACUGCGAGUGUAGAGGUGAAAUUCGUAGAUAUUCGCAAGAACACCAGUGGCGAAGGCGGCUCACUGGCCCGAUACUGACGCUGAGGCACGAAAGCGUGGGGAGCAAACAGG